rnacentral:rRNA from 1 species
UGAGGAAUAUUGGUCAAUGGGCGGGAGCCUGAACCAGCCAAGCCGCGUGAAGGAAGAAGGCGCUAAGCGUCGUAAACAUCUUUUGUCGGGGAACAAAGGUCCGGACGUGUCCGGAUGAGAGUGUACCCGAAGAAAAAGCAUCGGCUAACUCCGUGCCAGCAGCCGCGGUAAUACGGAGGAUGCGAGCGUUAUCCGGAUUUAUUGGGUUUAAAGGGUGCGUAGGCGGUCUGUUAAGUCAGCGGUAAAAGCCCGGGCUCAACCCGCGAGCGUGAAUACUGGCGGACUAGAGAGGGCGAGAAGUACGCGGAAUGCGCAGUGUAGCGGUGAAAUGCAUAGAUAUUGCGCAGAACUCCGAUUGCGAAGGCAGCGUAACCGGCGCCUUUCUGACGCUGAGGCACGAAAGCGUGGGUAUCGAACAGGAUUAGAUACC